rnacentral:rRNA from 1 species
CGGGACGGGUGAGUAACGCGUGGAUAACCUGCCUCACAUUGGGGGAUAACAGUUAGAAAUGGCUGCUAAUACCGCAUAAGCGCACAGUACCGCAUGGUACGGUGUGAAAAACCCAGGUGGUGUGAGAUGGAUCCGCGUCUGAUUAGCCAGUUGGCGGGGUAACGGCCCACCAAAGCGACGAUCAGUAGCCGACCUGAGAGGGUGACCGGCCACAUUGGGACUGAGACACGGCCCAA